UCCACGAGAAACAGACCCAAUGUCAUCCCAUUUUCCUUGGGUUUGUCUACUGAAGGGAGUGGCAAUGCAGAAAAAUCUCUCCCCCUGAUGGCUCAGGUGGCAGCAUGAAUUUUAGCCGCAUUUGAGUUGUGUAGUCAGCAGCUGACCCGCCAAUACGCACAGGCUGAUUAAGUGGUUGGCUGCUUCCCCUUAGCAUGACUAAGGAAUUGGAUUUUGCCCAAUGAUUUCAAACGUUUUUAUUGGAGAGAAGACAUUUAUUGCAUCCUUGGGGACAUGAGGCAAAAAAUACCGUGCCUUUUGAGAUUAGGCUUCCAGUGGGUUUUUAGUUGGAUGCACCUAUUUCUUUAGCGUUAUCCUAAAUAAAUGGGAAGGCACUCCUGGCUUCUUGGUGAAAAAAGAAGCGUGCGACGUGGGGAAGAUGAAGGGAGUGCAGCUGCCUGAGGUCCGUGUUCCCUGCCUGCACUCACCUCUGCCAUAGCGCCUGGGUCGGAGGGCCGCACUGAGUCAUCCUGGUGGACAGAGUGGGGCACGCAGGGAAAAUCGAUUCUCAUCUCUCCGCCAGAUUUCCUCAUCUGCUCGCUGGCUGUAGGAGGGGAUUUCCAUAGUAAUGUGACCUGUCUUCAUGCUCCAUUAACCGGCUCCUAAUUGAUGCAGAUCAUCUUGGUUGGGCAGACAAAUAAUGGAGGAAGGGCGUUGAGUGCUUGAGCAAUGCAUCUGAAAGGAACAGUGUCAGAGGUCACCACCAAGCUGACUGCACACUUUUGUUGUUGGCUGGUAAUCCAGAAAAAGAAACGCUCCUUCAGGAGUUUGCCAGGAAAAUCCACCUCCCAUCCACAGAAAGAGGGGGGGAAAUGUGGCGAAGCAACAGGAACUGGGAAGCGCAGCAGCCUUGGAUGCCACCUUCAAUGCGAAGAAUAACGAAAAGAGUAGGAAGCAAUACCAUAAAGAGAUUGUCUUUAUGAUUAGCACACGUUAUGAUGUACUACGCACACUGAACUGUUCCAGUGUGCGUAGUAGCUGGAAGAGAAGGCCGUACAACAGCUGAUGAAGUUGGCUGCAGCAAGAAAAUCACAUCUCAGUUUCCAGGAUUUCAGAAAGAAGAGCUCCUCCGAUACUUGCAAAUCUCUGCAAAACGUUUCAGUGCUUGCUGCCCCCAGGUCUGGUCAGAUCUUGGUGAUUUCCUCCCGCGUGCACUGCAGGGCCCUGUUCUGCUCUUCAGGAUGGAUGCUACCCAGAACCGUGGCUGAUUCAGUGCGCUGAGGGAGGAUGCGGAGCUGAUCUUCAUAACUGGCCUGUGUAUUUUAGGUAACAUGUAACGUGUCACAUUUAUUCUAGGCUCACAACAACCUAGUUGUGAGAAAAAAUGUGGAACCAACAUAUGGCUUAAAACUGCCUGUAGCAGUGCAGGGCUAGAAGGAGGUAAUUCUGAGGUGCUACACCAUGCACAACAUUUGAAUUUCGAAUGUGAUCUGAGUGUGUCCCCUGCGUGUGACCUGACCAUAAUUAUUGAUCAGGGUCUUAAGUCGCUGCUUGGAUUCCUUGGGUCAGUUGAUUUUGUUUUGCUUGCCUAGGGGAAACGUUGUUUUUGCUUGGAGGGAAGGAAUAGCACUGACCACAGCGCUCCAACCUGCAGAUGUCUUUCUUGGAACAAAAAAGCCUGAGACACUGACUGCAUUACUGUGCUAAUUCCCCUUCAUCUCAAUGUUCCCGGCUGAUGCGUGCCUUGCCCCGAGCAGAAAGGUAAAGAGGGAUCCUUGCAUUUGUGUCUGAGAUCGCUUCUUUCCUGGGCUGGCCGCUUCCCAGAGUCCCUUUUCAGAAGGUCGUGGUAUGUCCAGCGAUUGCCCGGGGCCUG